rnacentral:rRNA from 1 species
GAUGAACGCUGGCGGCGUGCCUAAUACAUGCGAGUCGAGCGAACAGAUGAGGAGCUUGCUCCUCUGACGUUAGCGGCGGACGGGUGAGUAACACGUGGAUAACCUACCUAUAAGACUGGGAUAACUUCGGGAAACCGGAGCUAAUACCGGAUAAUAUAUUGAACCGCAUGGUUCAAUAGUGAAAGACGGUUUUGCUGUCACUUAUAGAUGGAUCCGCGCCGCAUUAGCUAGUUGGUAAGGUAACGGCUUACCAAGGCAACGAUGCGUAGCCGACCUGAGAGGGUGAUCGGCCACACUGGAACUGAGACACGGUCCAGACUCCUACGGGAGGCAGCAGCAGGGAAUCUUCCGCAAUGGGCGAAAGCCUGACGGAGCAACGCCGCGUGAGUGAUGAAGGUCUUCGGAUCGUAAAACUCUGUUAUUAGGGAAGAACAAAUGUGUAAGUAACUAUGCACGUCUUGACGGUACCUAAUCAGAAAGCCACGGCUAACUACGUG